GAUGAAGAACGCAGCGAAAUGCGAUAAGUAAUGUGAAUUGCAGAAUUCAGUGAAUCAUCGAAUCUUUGAACGCACAUUGCGCCCCCUGGUAUUCCGGGGGGCAUGCCUGUUCGAGCGUCAUUACAACCCUCAAGCUCCGCUUGGUAUUGGGCCCCGCCAGUUCUGGCGGGCCCUAAAGUCAGUGGCGGUGCCUUCCGGCUCCGAGCGUAGUAAUUCUUCUCGCUCUGGAGACCCGGUUGUGUGCUUGCCAACAACCCCCAAUUUUUUAAGGUUGACCUCGGAUCAGGUAGGGAUACCCGCUGAACUUAAGCAUAUCAAUAAGCGGAGGA
rnacentral:misc_RNA from 1 species